AGCAGCCGCGGUAAUUCCAGCUCCAAUAGCGUAUAUUAAAGUUGUUGCAGUUAAAAAGCUCGUAGUUGAAUUUCGGGGUUAGCAGGUCGGUCGUGCCAUCGGUAUGAACUGGUCUCGCUGAUCCCUCCCUCUUGAAGAACUGUGAUGCCAUUAAUUUGGUGUCGCAGGGAAUCAGGACUGUUACUUUGAAAAAAUUAGAGUGUUUAAAGCAGGCUCACGCUUGAAUACAUUAGCAUGGAAUAAUGAAAUAGGACGUUUGAUCCUAUUUUGUUGGUUUCUAGGAUUGACGUAAUGAUUAAUAGGGAUAGUUGGGGGCAUUAGUAUUCAAUUGUCAGAGGUGAAAUUCUUGGAUUUAUUGAAGACUAACUACUGCGAAAGCAUUUGCCAAGGAUGUUUUCAUUAAUCAAGAACGAAAGUUAGGGGAUCGAAGACGAUCAGAUACCGUCGUAGUCUUAACCAUAAACUAUGCCGACUAGGGAUCGGAUGAUGUUAAUUUUUUAAUGACUCAUUCGGCGCCUUA
rnacentral:misc_RNA from 1 species